rnacentral:rRNA from 1 species
UACAGAGGGUGCGAACGUUGCUCGGAAUUACUGGGCGUAAAGCGCGUGUAGGCGGCGCGGUAAGUCGGGUGUGAAAUCUUGGAGCUUAACUCCGAAACUGCAUUCGAUACUGGCGUGCUUGAGGACUGGAGAGGAGACUGGAAUUCAUGGUGUAGCAGUGAAAUGCGUAGAGAUCAUGAGGAAGACCAGUGGCGAAGGCGGGUCUCUGGACAGUUCCUGACACUGAGACACGAAGGCCAGGGGAGCAAACGGG